GAAAAAUCCAUGGCUACUCUUCACUCCUGUUCCUUUUCUUCACUUCACAGCUUUCCCUCUGUAACGUUAAAGUACUCUCGAACUCAGCCAAGGAUUUUGCGAUUCAAUUGCCGAUCCAGUAGUGAUGAUAAGGAGGAUUAUUUGCUGGAUGCUCCUGUUUCAGUUGGGGACGGCUUUUCUUUUAGUGGAGGGAAGUAUUCAGACGAGCCAAGUCCGGCCGAUGAAUGGUUCGACAGAGGAAAAUUUGUGAAAGCUUAUCCAGUUUCUGGGACUGGGGAGAAAGCAAAGGAUCCCAUUUUUGGACUUACAAUGGGUGAGAGUUCGCAGGCAUCAUCUGAUCUUUUCAGGGUUACCCAUUGAAUGUGAUUUUGUGCAAUAGAUGGUUUUGUGUAGAAAGUGGAAGCUCUAACAAUUCUCCCAUUCUAUUAAUCCACGGCUUACCAUCACAGGCAUACUCUUAUCGCAAAGUUCUUCCCAUGCUUGAGAACAACUAUCAUGCUAUAGCACUUGAUUGGCUUGGAUUUGGAUUCUCAGAUAAGCCCCAACCAAAAUAUGGAUUUGACUAUACAUUGGAUGAAUAUGUGGCAUCCUUGGAAUCUGUGAUCAAUGCUCUUACUGACAAAAAGGUUACUCUUGUAGUGCAGGGGUAUUUCUCAGCAAUUGCAAUCAAAUAUGCG
rnacentral:misc_RNA from 1 species